ACAUUGGUGGUUCAGUGUAGAAGUUUCACCUUCCAUGCAGGAGACCCAGGUUUGGUUCCUGGCCAAUGUA
rnacentral:tRNA from 1 species